AUUUAAUGCAGGACAUCCUUCGGGGGCUGUAAAUGUUCCAUACUUGUUCAAAUAUGGAGACGAUUCAACAAAGAAUCCUAAUUUCGUGGAAGAAGUAUCAAAACUUUUCAAAGAGGAUGCUGAAAUUGUAGUGGGAUGUCUCAAAGGAAUUAGAUCUCUUUAAGGCUGCUGCUGAUCUUUCAAAUGCUG